GGGCGGCUCGGCUCCUCCCUACCUCGCCGCUCUACCAAGCCCCCAGCAGCAGCAGCAGCGUGUAACUCACUCUCGGACUCCGGCAGGAGUGAAACUUCGUGUCAUCACUUCAGCCUGGCUCCCCGUUACCCUCGGUGCCGCUUCGGCCCAGGCUCGGGUUCCUUGACACUACAGCGGCCGGGGAGUAGAGGCCCGGCUGUCUAGGCAUUGGUGUAUUUUCAGCUAGAACAAAGGUGGGAAGGAAUCAUGUGAAGACACAGACCAGUCAGAACAGCCCAGUCCUGAGCCAGAAUCUACGAGACUGUACACAGAGGAGGACUUUAAGUCAGAACAGACAUUUACAAAGCUGAGAGACUAUGCUGUGGAUAAGACCUGAAAGACAAUGAGAAAUUCUUCACCUUCGGAAAAAAAAAAAUCAAUCUCAAGGGCUAGUGAUCUGUGAGUGUCUUAGAGUUUAUUUCUAAAUGUAAUUCCCAUAUGCGCUAAAAACGAUUAGCUAAUUAACAAUUGACUUCCAUUUUUAAAAAAUGUUGCUUUUAUUGUAUAGGAGGAUCACAGAAAACAUGAACGCAUGUAUCUAAAAAAAUUCAGUACCCCUGAGGGCAAAAGGAAAUAAAACUUAUUUUUAAAAUUUAAAAAAAGAAAA